rnacentral:rRNA from 1 species
GAUGAACGCUAGCUACAGGCUUAACACAUGCAAGUCGAGGGGCAGCAUGGUCUUAGCUUGCUAAGGCCGAUGGCGACCGGCGCACGGGUGAGUAACACGUAUCCAACCUGCCGUCUACUCUUGGACAGCCUUCUGAAAGGAAGAUUAAUACCCGAUGUUAUAGUCCUACCGCAUGAUGGGAUUAUUAAAGAAUUUCGGUAUGGGAUGGGGAUGCGUUCCAUUAGUUAGUUGGCGGGGUAACGGCCCACCAAGACAACGAUGGAUAGGGGUUCUGAGAGGAAGGUCCCCCACAUUGGAACUGAGACACGGUCCAA